GACGAACCGUGCGAACGUUAUUCGGAAUCAUUGGGCUUAAAGCGCGUGUAGGCGGAUGGGAACGUCGGAGUUGAAAGCCCCCGGCUCAACCGGGGAAUUGGCCCCGAAACGACCCGUCUCGAGGGACAUAGGGGGACCUGGAACUUCCGGUGGAGCGGUGAAAUGCGCAGAUAUCAGGAGGAACACCGGUGGCGAAGGCGGGUCUCUGGGCCGAUACUGACGCUGAGGAGCGAAAGCGUGGGGAGCGAACAGG
rnacentral:rRNA from 1 species